rnacentral:lncRNA from 1 species
UCUUCUGUGAGCCUGGUUUGAUUAAUGAUCGCCGGCCGGGUCUCCAUUGACAUUCUAUGAGCUGCCUUAAAUUUCUUGGGCUUGAACAAUGUUUCUAUAUCUUGAAGCAUCCUUGCUUGUAUUUAUUUAGAGGUCUUGAUUUGCUUUCCUUCCAUCUUGCAUUUUGAUGGUACCCUGGCCCUGGGACCAUACAAGCCCAUGAAUUCGAAGGUCGUGGAAUAGUAUAAAUGUCCCUAAGAAUAUUGGAGAAAGGACUUUUACCACUUUUUGUAUUCUUACACCUGUGAUAGAAAGAGAGGAAUUAAGAGAGCACUUGGCGAUCGUGUGUAAGUAUGAGGUAGAGUAAGCGCUUUGCACUUAUACCAUUAGUGGAGAACCUAACGUGAAACAACUAGUACAACCGUGAUAGUAGAAUGAUGAGGAAGCAGUCAAGAAGAAAGGAACGACGAAGUGGAAAGGCGCAACCGAGUUGAGUCGUUGGUCAUCCACGACAGAGAGGCAACCUCUGAGCGUAGGAUCCCAAUCGAGGAAGAGAUGGAACCAUACCGUUCGUAUCUGAGGAUGAAGUCUCGAGUCCACAACGAUGAAGACAGCAUUCCUAAGAUAGUUGCUAGUUCAUCUUUGUCGUUAACCACCUUGGAGAAUACAAUGUGACUUUUAUCAUAAUUAAUUUCCAACCCUUAGAACUCACUAAACUUCAUAGGGAUUGACUUUAAGGUGUUAAAUAGCUUGACGCUGGUUCUACAUCAUACAAUUCCAACCUCCUUCUUCCACUGCAUGAUUGAACAUUCUGUUCAAUAUUUGUAGUAUCCAAACUUGUAUAUCAGACAGAUCCGGUUCGGAUAACUUUAUAUCCGAAUUCGAAUCCAAAUAAUAUUUUCCGUAUAAUAUUCAGAUAGAAAAAUUUUAAUUUCUAAAUCCCUAGAGAUAGAUGGACAGUUAUUAAAAAUUAAAGUAAAUAUAAUAAUAGGAAACUGUUCCAGAACGGGACGUGUUCUGGAACGGGACGUCUUACGGCACAUCAUCCGGUUAAAUUAAUUAUUAAUAUAAGUAACGGUAAUCUAUAUAAACCAACGGUUAUGGGUUAUGAGUUUGAAAAAGAGGAAGAGGAAAGUAGGGUGAAAGCUAGAUGGAUGAAACUAAGUUGAUCUUAAUUUUGAACUGAUAUUUUCAGUUGAUCUUUACAACAGAGUUUGAGAUGAGUGGUUUGAUGCUCUGGCCGACUACGAGAUGCGUAUUGAAUGCGUUCUCAAGAUAGUCCAAACACAAACACAAUUGAAAUGAAAAAUCACUAUCGAACAUUCGAAUCUCCCAAAUCUUAAAAGUUAAAAUGAAAUCGCAUAAUGAUUAAAUCAAGGAAAUGCCUAAGUGAUGGAAACAAACAACCUAAGAACGGAAAAGGGAACUCCAAGAUGCGGCUGCUGCUUCUCAAAACCUAAAUCCCACCACUGCGGUUGCGGCACUGCCCGAGAGUCCGAGACCUAGAUAGUAGAUAGAAUAGAGGACGAAGUCACGAGGUGUUCUACUGUUCUCCUUCUAACUUGUAAGUAUAUUUUUUUAUUUUUAACUUAAAAUAGACCCCCCCAGAAUAUGACCAGGA